UAUUUUCUAUGUUCCAUGUUCUGUGUUCAAGGCUGGCUGCCAGCAGUGGACUGGAAUUGCUGGGGCUCCACAUCAGCGCUACAGAGAGGCAGA